rnacentral:rRNA from 1 species
GAUGAACGCUGGCGGCGUGCCUAAUACAUGCAAGUCGAGCGAACGGACGAGAAGCUUGCUACUCUGAUGUUAGCGGCGGACGGGUGAGUAACACGUGGAUAACCUACCUAUAAGACUGGGAUAACUUCGGGAAACCGGAGCUAAUACCGGAUAAUAUUUUGAACCGCAUGGUUCAAUAGUGAAAGACGGUCUUGCUGUCACUUAUAGAUGGAUCCGCGCUGCAUUAGCUAGUUGGUAAGGUAACGGCUUACCAAGGCAACGAUGCAUAGCCGACCUGAGAGGGUGAUCGGUCACACUGGAACUGAGACACGGUCCAGACUCCUACGGGAGGCAGCAGUAGGGAAUCUUCCGCAAUGGGCGAAAGCCUGACGGAGCAACGCCGCGUGAGUGAUGAAGGUCUUCGGAUCGUAAAACUCUGUUAUUAGGGAAGAACAUAUGUGUAAGUAACUAUGCACAUCUUGACGGUACCUAAUCAGAAAGCCACGGCUAACUACGUG